AUCCAGGUGACAAGUCCCAAAUAGGACGAAACGCGCGUCCUGAAU
rnacentral:hammerhead_ribozyme from 1 species